GGCUGGUCUAAAGGUAGUGAGUUAUCUCAAUUGACUGUUCACAGUCAGUUACAGAUCAAACUCUUUGUUCUACUCUUUCCCACCUUCUCACUACUGCACUUGACUAGUCUAAA
ensembl:Y_RNA Y_RNA Y RNA